rnacentral:lncRNA from 1 species
UAUACGUGAAUAGUAACUCCAAUACAAAAAGUUUUAAAUUUGAUAAAAAGUUCAGUUCAAUAUCUCGGCAUAAUGAUAUUGAAAGAAUAACAUCAUUACGAAAAAAAAUAACAUCCCUUACCUCGAAAAGACAGUACUUCUGACUGAAUAUAGUGCUGAAGGGAACUUGCACCGUAUAGCAACACUCAAAUUAUCAAAAUACUCACAAG